UACGGGGGGUGCGAGCGUUGUCCGGAAUCACUGGGCGUAAAGGGCGCGUAGGUGGUUUGAUAAGGGUGUGGUGAAAGUCCGGAGCUCAACUCUGGAUCUGCCGUGCCGACUGUCAAACUCGAGGGCUGUAGAGGCAGACGGAAUUCCGGGUGUAGCGGUGGAAUGCGUAGAGAUCCGGAAGAACACCGGUGGCGAAGGCGGCCUGCUGGGCAGUAGCUGACGCUGAGGCGCGACAGCGUGGGGAGCAAACAGG
rnacentral:rRNA from 1 species